AGAUAAGCCAAAGGUAGAGCAGAGCUUUAAAUCUGUCUCGCUGGGGUAGUGGACAAACUCAGAGGGCUACAGUGUCCAUUACUAUUCUUGGAGAAAAGCUGUAUUCAUCUAUUGCAUUCUGUACCAGUGCCACCUGUUGAGUCAUCUGCCUGUUUCCUGAUCAACUCCGUUUGCUUUGAAGCCCAGGUCUUUCAACACCCCGGGAACUGAUGAAAUUCCCACCAGUCCUCCUCAACCUCCCCCCCAUCACCUGUCUCAAUAUGGAGAAGCAGCAAAUGGUAACAGAACUUCCAGAGGCCUUGGCAUCAGACGGACCUGGGCUCAAACUCCAACUUGACCACUGUAUGGACUUGGGCAAGUUACUGAAUCUCUCUGAGCUUUGGUUCCCUCAUCUGUACAACAGAGAUUUCAACAGCUACUUCUCAGGGCUUCAGGAGAAAUACG